UUUUCGUUGUAAGCGGGAAUUUUUCCCUACCUCACUCCUCAACCAAAGACUCUCUUCUCAGCUUUUCUCUCCCCCAGACUCCCUCUUGUUUACUGUUUGCCUCAAUUAGAAUAGUUUGCUCCAGAGAGGGAUUUUUCCCCCUCCUGGUCUUUCAACGUUUUCGAGGAACGCCCUCAGCAUAUCUCUGUUUCUCUGCGUGAGAGCUGAGAGAUAACGAAGCCAAGUACCCUGCGUCAGUUCUUCAGGCAACCUCUAGACCUGUUCAAACAAAUAGAAUUUUUGGAAAUCUGUUCUGUUCGGUCUGGAGCCAGUUCGCGUGCUGGGAUCUGGGCUGCGGUCUUCAAGCCUCCUGGACCUAUACAAAUAUGCAGCCAUGAUAAAGGAGAAGAAUUGAAAAAAAAAAAAUAUGCACACUCUUCACAAGUGAUUUCAGUUCUGGUGUGAAUAUGCAGAAGACAGACGAUACAUAAGUAGGUUUCCAUCUCAUCAUAUUAUCUUUCUGCAUAAUUAAUAUAGGAGACUUUGUGAUGCGCAUUGAGAAUACAAAAAUCAGUGGGGUAUUUUCAUUUUAUCCAAAUAGCUAAUAAACUACAGAUGGGUUGGCAAAUAGUUUUCCUUUAA